CCUCUAUUAUGUGUUUUAGGAGCAUGCCAGAAAUUGCAUAAAGUGAAGGCAGAUGAGGUGGAAGAUGCCAUUGGCCAGGCGCUGAAAUUAGCACCACACAGACAAUUAAAGUGAUGGAAGAGGAAAGGAGGAGGAGAAGUACAAAACUGUAGUUUCAAAUAAAAUCUAAUUUAUGGAUCGCAGGUCCUGUCAUUUACUUGUUAUAGUGGAUAAGGUCUAUGAUAAUUAGUACAAAUUCCAGUCAUAUCUGUGUUCUACUAACAGUAGGCCUAGUACAUAUGUAUAUCUAUAUAACAAUGACUGCAGAGACAGCUUUGAUCAGUGGGACAGAUAGGUGGACAGGUGGGAAAGUGAUUUGGAGAAAACGAAGAUCGAUGAGGCUUCAGGAAAAUGCUGAUAAGUAUUACCAACUCAUGAUGGACCGAAUUCAUUGAGAAUGUAUUUUUAAAUAUAUCUGACAUUUUCUGUGUGGAAAAUUAAUAAUAUAAUGUAUUUGUUUCAGUGUUCUAACCCUUUUCAUGGAUCCCUGCGAUGUGCUCUUUCAGCCUCUGAUGGUGCUUUUGGAAAGGACAUGAAAAUUAGCCACUUUGGUCAGCUGUCACCCAUGGGCCAUGUCUCAUCCCACUUGUGACCACACAACAGAG